GAACCGGACAAACGUUAUUCGGAAUUACUGGGCUUAAAGGGGUGCGUAGGCGGUGCGGGCAAGUCGGAUGUGAAACCCUCGGGCUCAACCGAGGAAUUGCGUCCGAAACUGCCGUGCUAGAGGGAGAUAGGGGUGAGCGGAACUCACGGUGGAGCGGUGAAAUGCGUUGAUAUCGUGAGGAACACCGGUGGCGAAGGCGGCUCACUGGAUCUCUUCUGACGCUGAGGCACGAAAGCUAGGGGAGCGAACGGGAUUAGAUACCCCGGUAGUCCUAGCUGUAAACGAUGAGCACUGGGUUGGAGAGGCUCCCAUACCUUUCCGGCCGAAGCGAAAGUAUUAAGUGCUCCGCCUGGGGAGUAUGGCCGCAAGGCUG
rnacentral:rRNA from 1 species